CCGCGGCCUAUCAGCUAGUUGGUGAGGUAACGGCCCACCAAGGCUAAGACGGGUAGCUGGUCUGAGAGGACGACCAGCCUCACUGGAACUGAGACACGGUCCAGACACCUACGGGUGGCAGCAGUCGAGAAUUUUUCUCAAUGGGGGAAACCCUGAAGGAGCGACGCCGCGUGGGGGAUGAAUGGCUUCGGCCCGUAAACCCCUGUCAUUUGCGAACAAACCUUUCGAUCUAAUAAGUCGAAAGCUGAUAGUAGCAGAAGAGGAAGGGACGGCUAACUCUGUGCCAGCAGCCGCGGUAAUACAGAGGUCCCGAGCGUUGUUCGGAUUCACUGGGCGUAAAGGGUGCGUAGGUGGUAGGGUAAGUUUGACGUGAAAGCUCCGAGCUUAACUCGGAAAUUGCGUUGAAUACUAUCCACUAGAGGGUUGUAGGGGGGACUGGAAUUCUCGGUGUAGCAGUGAAAUGCGUAGAUAUCGAGAGGAACACCAGUGGCGAAGGCGAGUCCCUGGACAACUCCUGACACUGAGGCACGAAAGCUAGGGGAGCAAACAGGAUUAGAUACCCUGGUAGUCCUAGCUGUAAACGGUGCACAUUUGCUGUGAGCGGAAUCGACCCUGCUCGUGGCGAAGCUAACGCGAUAAAUGUGCCGCCUGGGAAGUACGGUCGCAAGAUUAAAACUCAAAGAAAUUGACGGGGGCCUGCACAAGCGGUGGAGUAUGUGGCUUAAUU
rnacentral:rRNA from 1 species